rnacentral:rRNA from 1 species
GACGAACGCUGGCGGCGUGCCUAACACAUGCAAGUCGAACGGAGUGAAGCCCUUCGGGACUUUACUUAGUGGCGAACGGGUGAGUAACGCGUGAGGAACCUGCCUUUCAGUGGGGGACAACAGUUGGAAACGACUGCUAAUACCGCAUGACGCUUCUUGGGGGCAUCCCCGGGAAGCCAAAGAUUUAUUGCCUGAAAAGAUGGCCUCGCGUCUGAUUAGCUGGUUGGUGAGGUAACGGCCCACCAAGGCGACGAUCAGUAGCCGGACUGAGAGGUUCAACGGCCACAUUGGGACUGAGAUACGGCCCAGACUCCUACGGGAGGCAGCAGUCGGGAAUUUUGCGCAAUGGAGGAAACUCUGACGCAGUGAUGCCGCGUAUAGG